rnacentral:rRNA from 1 species
GUGGGGAAUCUUGCGCAAUGGGCGAAAGCCUGACGCAGCCAUGCCGCGUGAAUGAUGAAGGUCUUAGGAUUGUAAAAUUCUUUCACCGGGGACGAUAAUGACGGUACCCGGAGAAGAAGCUCCGGCUAACUUCGUGCCAGCAGCCGCGGUAAUACGAAGGGGGCUAGCGUUGCUCGGAAUUACUGGGCGUAAAGGGCGCGUAGGCGGACAGCUUAGUCAGAGGUGAAAGCCCAGGGCUCAACCUUGGAAUUGCCUUUGAUACUGGCUGUCUUGAGUUUGGGAGAGGUGAGUGGAACUCCGAGUGUAGAGGUGAAAUUCGUAGAUAUUCGGAAGAACACCAGUGGUGAAGGCGACUCACUGGCCCAAUACUGACGCUGAGGCGCGAAAGCGUGGGGAGCAAACAGGAUUAGAAACCCCGGUAGUCC